rnacentral:rRNA from 1 species
GCUACACAUGCAGUCGAACGGCAGCACGGGGGCAACCCUGGUGGCGAGUGGCGAACGGGUGAGUAAUACAUCGGAACGUGUCCUGUAGUGGGGGAUAGCCCGGCGAAAGCCGGAUUAAUACCGCAUACGAUCUACGGAAGAAAGCGGGGGAUCGCAAGACCUCGCGCUAUAGGGGCGGCCGAUGGCAGAUUAGCUAGUUGGUGGGGUAAAGGCCUACCAAGGCGACGAUCUGUAGCUGGUCUGAGAGGACGACCAGCCACACUGGGACUGAGACACGGCCCAGACUCCUACGGGAGGCAGCAGUGGGGAAUUUUGGACAAUGGGGGAAACCCUGAUCCAGCAAUGCCGCGUGUGUGAAGAAGGCCUUCGGGUUGUAAAGCACUUUUGUCCGGAAAGAAAACCUUUGCACUAAUACUGUGAGGGGAUGACGGUACCGGAAGAAUAAGCACCGGCUAACUACGUGCCAGCAGCCGCGGUAAUACGUAGGGUGCGAGCGUUAAUC